UUUCCGUUGGUGAACCUGCGGAAGGAUCAUUACAGAGAUCGUGCCCUUCGGGGUAGACCUCCCACCCUGUGUUAUUUACGUAUGUUGCUUUGGCGGGCCGCCUCCGGGCUCUCGGCUUCGGCCGAGGUGUGCCCGCCAGAGAACCCACAACCCUGUGUUUAGUGUCGUCUGAGUAUUAUCAAAUAAGUUAAAACUUUCAACAACGGAUCUCUUGGUUCUG
rnacentral:misc_RNA from 1 species